ACCUGGCACAUCACGUCCUCAUGUGUCCCAGUGUGUCCCAUCCCAGUACCUCCCAGUACCUCCCAGUACUUCCCAGUGUGUCCUGAUGUCACCUGGCACAUCACAUCCUCAUGUAUCCCAUCCCAGUAUGUCCCAGUAUGUCCCAGUGUGUCCUGAUGUCACCUGGCACAUCACAUCCUCAUGUAUCCCAUUCCCAGUAUGUCCCAGUAUGUCCCAGUAUGUCUUGAUGCCACCUGACACAUCACAUCCUUGUGUGUGUCCCUUCCCAGUACCUUCCAGUACCUCCCAGUUUGCCCAGUGUCUCCUGCUGCCCCUCCACUCUCCCCCAUCCCACACUGAGUGACACCAGGACAGGGGACACCCCCGUCCCCAGCAGGGUGACACGUGCCUCAGUUUCCCCACUGUCCCCAUUCCCAAAUGGGGACAGAAUGGGGACGGGACGCGGCAGGGGGACGCCGGCUUGGCCACGGCACAGAGUGUGACAACGGGGAUGGAGGUGACAAAGGGAUGUGACAACGGGGAUGGAGGUGACACGGGGACACAGCCGUGGGGACACGGCGCGCCAGGAGGUGACAGCGGCACGCAGAGCUGCAGCUGUGCGCCACGGGGAUGUGACACAAUGUGGGGACGUGGCACGGGGACACGUGGAGGUGUGACAUUGGCACUGUGGCACGGGGACACCGAGGGGUGGCGGUGACACCACGUGGGGACACGGCACGGAGAGGUGACAGCGCUGAGGUGGCACCGGGAUGUGAGACGGGGAUGAGGUGGCACUGGGAUGUGACAUCGUGGAAGUGGCGCUGGGAUGUGACAUCAUGGGGACACGGCAUGGAGGUGGCGCUGGGAUGUGACAUCGUGGGGACACGGCAUGGAGGUGGCGCUGGGAUGUGACAUCGUGGGGACACGGCACGGAGGUGGCGCUGGGAUGUGACAUCGUGGGGACACAGCACGGAGGUGGCACACGGGGAGGUGGCACACGGGGACGUGGCACGGCGCAGAGGUGGCACUGGGACACGGCACGGAGAUGGCACUGGGAUGUGACAUGGGGACAUGUGACACCAUGGGGACAUGGCAUGGAGGCGGCACCAGGAUGUGACGUCAUGGGGACACGGCGCAGAGGUGGCACCGGGAUGUGACAAGGGGCUGUGACAGCGGUGGCACUGGGAUGGGGACACAGUGCUGAAGAAUGACAUGAGGAUGUGACACGGAGUGGUGGCUUUGGGGACACGGAUGUGACACGGAGUGGUGGCUCUGGGGACACGGAUGUGACACGGAGUGGUGGCUUUGGGGACACGGCGUGAAGAGGUGGCCUGGGGAUACGAGAUGAAGGAUGCGGUGGCCCGGCGGUGACAGAUGGGGACACGGUGACACCGGGGCCACGCGGUGACAAUCAGUGGUGGCUGCGGUCCCCUCCCACCCCCUCGCUGUCCCCCUCCCCCCCCGUGUCCCCGCAGCACGUGCGGUUUUAGUGCAUUGUGGGCGCGGGGCGGCGGCUCCGCCUCGUUAUCCUUGUUAUUAAUUAAUUAUUAUUAUUAUUAUUGUUAUUAUUAUUAUUAUUAUAAAGGCGCAUGUGGAACCUGA